rnacentral:rRNA from 1 species
GAUCAUGGCUCAGAACGAACGCUGGCGGCGUGGAUUAGGCAUGCAAGUCGAACGGGACUUUAUGUUGUAGCAAUACUUAUAAAGUCUAGUGGCGUAAGGGUGAGUAACACGUGGGUAACGUACCCGAUAGUUUGGGAUAACGUUCCGAAAGGGACGCUAAUACCGGAUGUGAUGUUAAAACGCUGGUUUUAACAAGAAAGGUGGGGACCGCAAGGCCUGCCGCUAACGGAACGGCCCGCGACCUAUUAGCUAGUUGGUGGGGUAAAGGCCUACCAAGGCGAGGAUGGGUAGCCGAACUGAGAGGUUGACCGGCCACACUGGGACUGAGACACUGCCCAGACUUCUACGGAAGGCUGCAGUCGAGAAUCAUUCACAAUGGACGAAAGUCUGAUGAUGCGACGCCGCGUGCGCGAUGAAGGUCUUCGGAUUGUAAAGCGCUUUGAACAGGGAAGAAUGCCGCGUAUUUAAUAGAUAACGCGGAGGGACAGUACCUGACAAACAAGCCCCGGCUAAUUUCGUGCCAGCCGCUGC